rnacentral:rRNA from 1 species
AGAUUGAACGCUGGCGGCAUGCCUAACACAUGCAAGUCGAACGGGAGUAGCAAUACUCUAGUGGCGGACGGGUGAGGAAUACGUAGGAAUUUGCCCUUAAGUGGGGGAUAACCCGGGGAAACCCGGAUUAAUACCGCAUGACCUCGAAAGAGCAAAGUGGGGGAUCGCAAGACCUCACGCUUUUGGAGAAGCCUACGUCGGAUUAGCUAGUUGGUGACGGUAAUGGCUCACCAAGGCGACGAUCCGUAACUGGUCUGAGAGGAUGAUCAGUCACGCCGGAACUGAGACACGGUCCGACUCCGUACGGGAGGCAGCAGGUGGGGAACUAGU